UAGUCCACGCUGUAAACGAUGAUCACUCGUUGUUGGCGAUAUACUGUCAGCGACCAAGCGAAAGCAUUAAGCGAUCCACCUGGGGAGUACGAUCGCAAGGUUGAAACUCAAAGGAAUUGACGGGGGCCCGCACAAGCGGUGGAGCAUGUGGUUUAAUUCGAUGAUACGCGAGGAACCUUACCAAGGCUUAAAUGUAGAUUGACAGUUUGGGAAACCAAAUCUUCCUUCGGGACAGUUUACAAGGUGCUGCAUGGUUGUCGUCAGCUCGUGCCGUGAGGUGUCGGGUUAAGUCCCAUAACGAGCGCAACCCCUAUCCUUAGUUACCAGCGAGUAAUGUCGGGGACUCUAAGGAAACUGCCCGUGCAAACGGUGAGGAAGGUGGGGAUGACGUCAAAUCAUCACGGCCCUUACGUCUUGGGCUACACACGUGCUACAAUGGUCGGUACAGAGGGCAGCUACCUGGCAACAGGAUGCGAAUCUCCAAAGCCGAUCUCAGUUCGGAUCG
rnacentral:rRNA from 1 species